CAGCAGCCGCGGGAAAACGAAGGGGGCUAGCGUUGUUCGGAUUUACUGGGCGUAAAGCGCACGUAGGCGGAUCGAUCAGUCAGGGGUGAAAUCCUGGAGCUCAACUCCAGAACCGCCUUUGAUACUGUCGAUCUCGAGUCCGGAAGAGGUGAGUGGAACUCCUAGUGUAGAGGUGGAAUUCGUAGAUAUUAGGAAGAACACCAGUGGCGAAGGCGGCUCACUGGUCCGGUACUGACGCUGAGGUGCGAAAGCGUGGGGAGCAAACAGGAUUAGAUACCCGCGUAGUCCCUGUCUCUUAUAC
rnacentral:rRNA from 1 species